rnacentral:rRNA from 1 species
GACGAACGCUGGCGGCGUGCUUAACACAUGCAAGUCGAACGGAAAGGCCCUGCUUUUGUGGGGUGCUCGAGUUGCGAACGGGUGAGUAACACGUGAGUAACCUGCCCUUGACUUUGGGAUAACUUCAGGAAACUGGGGCUAAUACCGGAUAGGAGCUCCUGCUGCAUGGUGGGGGUUGGAAAGUUUCGGCGGUUGGGGAUGGACUCGCGGCUUAUCAGCUUGUUGGUGGGGUAGUGGCUUACCAAGGCUUUGACGGGUAGCCGGCCUGAGAGGGUGACCGGCCACAUUGGGACUGAGCUACGGCCCAGACUCCUACGGGAGGCAGCGGUGGGGAAUAUUGCACAAUGGGCGGAAGCCUGAUGCAGCAACGCCGCGUGCGGGAUGACGGCCUUCGGGUUGUAAACCGCUUUCGCCUGUGACGAAGCGUGAGUGACGGUAAUGGGUAAAGAAGCACCGGCUAACUACGUG